GACGAACGCUGGCGGCGUGCUUAACACAUGCAAGUCGAACGGAAAGGCCCUGCUUUUGUGGGGUGCUCGAGUGGCGAACGGGUGAGUAACACGUGAGUAACCUGCCCUUGACUUUGGGAUAACUUCAGGAAACUGGGGCUAAUACCGGAUAGGAGCUCCUGCUGCAUGGUGGGGGUUGGAAAGUUUCGGCGGUUGGGGAUGGACUCGCGGCUUAUCAGCUUGUUAGUGGGGUAGUGGCUUACCAAGGCUUUGACGGGUAGCCGGCCUGAGAGGGUGACCGGCCACAUUGGGACUGAGGUACGGCCCAGACUCCUACGGGAGGCAGCAGUGGGGAAUAUUGCACAAUGGGCGGAAGCCUGAUGCAGCAACGCCGCGUGCGGGAUGACGGCCUUCGGGUUGUAAACCGCUUUCGCCUGUGACGAAGCGUGAGUGACGGUAAUGGGUAAAGAAGCACCGGCUAACUACGUG
rnacentral:rRNA from 1 species